ACGUAACUUGACGCUGUUGUAAGGCUGGCCAGUUGCCUAAGGGUAAAAGGUUGGGUGUAAAGUGAUAACUGACACGUUCCUCUUAAGUUAAACGUAUUCUGCGCUUUGUCUACCUUCGGACAGGAUUCUUUCGUUGAUGCAUGUAUUUUCGAAUAGGCCGGUAUGUUUCACCAGCGUGCUGUUUACGGACUUGUUCAAAAAGGGAACUCGUGACGAUGUCCAGACUCAUUCCAGAUCGUUAUUUUCGUGAAGACUUGCGAGAGGAAGAGGCCUGAUAUUUUAUAACUGCAUCUGCAUUUACAGCGUUGUUCUUGAAAAGAUAUAAUCGACGAUUUAUUGACAGCGUAGUUGGUGUUAUAAAAGAUCCACAGCCCCACCUGCUGAGCGACGAUUCAUAAACCCAAUGGUAUGCGAGCCAAGUUACUCGUAAACGCAAACAAGCGACAGACUAAUAUCGCAGAUUAAUUGGCGUUAUCCAAUAAACACUCGGCAGUCGAUCGAUCAUCGCUUAAUGAGAGCCAAAGUUAACGUGCUGCGAGUGAUGAGAAAUGAGUUAAUUAGCAUCCCAGGAGAAAGUUUCGCGUCUUUUUCUAGGCGGAUUUAAUACUGGCCAUUGAUCGAAGAUCGUGUCAAAUUAAACUGUUUAAUAAACCAAGAUAUCUUCAUACCUCAAGAUAGCGAUCGAAGAAAUAACCUAGCCCAUUUAAUGUUUACACGUACCCACGAGAGCAAAAAUCUUUUCGAAAACCAGAGAUUAAUCGUCUGCCUGAUUAUAAAUGAAGUAUAAUUUCCCCAAAGGCUAUCUGUUAAUGAUCGAUGCCAUAAACAUAUUGGAGUGAAAUUUUUAAAGCGAAUAUGUCAUUCGAUGGUACAACGAAAUCGCU